CUUUUGAAAAUGUUUGGAAAUAUCCCUAACGUUUUUUCAACUGGCGACUUUGUUUACAAUUUAAAUUAUCUUAAUAUCGUUAUAGAAACAUAAUUAGGUAAAUAUAAAUACAUAGUUAGAUAAGUUUUCGCAAGAUAUAGCUUUUAGCGGCUUUAACUGCUUUUCACUUCAAAUACUGUAAACACGGUUUCAAAUAAACGUUUUAAAUUACCUUGAUUUGAAAGAAAUUAUCAAUUUUACUUUCGCGCUACGGAUCGUGCGGGUCGCGAAACGUGACAAUAAUUCAAUUAAAAAUGAGUAUCAUCAACGUAUUGGGCUUAGAUUGUUGCAAAUGAUUUUCAAUACUCCGUUGAAAAAAUUCAGCGGAAAAUUCGCAAUUAAGAAAUCGGAGCACUUUCGAGGGCAAAUGUCACAAGAAACCCUGAAACUGGCUUAAAGAUGCUCUAGAAAAAAACAGCCACGGAGCAGAGAGACGAUGAACCUUCUGGUAAAAGGACUAUGAUUCUCAGUACUUACCUCAGAACUGUCAGAAAACUACGAGUAUCGUGACAAAUUAUUAUUUGUAAAAUUUCAAAGUGUCGAGAGAUUCGAAUGCAGAGCUCGAAAAAAGGAAUUUUUAAAUUAAUGAGGAAGAAGAGUUUGAAAAUAAACUUCCAAAAUUGACAGAAUAUUUUUCAGUAAAUAUUUUUCAAUCGAUGAAGCAGAAACAGAAAGAUAUAGAAGCCGUAUAUCGCUGCUUGACAUUGAUAGUGGAGCAAUUCGCAAAAAGGUAAAUUUUAGAGGAGAAGCUUUUUAAAAUUUACGAAGAGAUUUCCAACGAAUCAUUUCAACAGCAUUAUAAGACUGACUAAACACAAGAUAUACCAUUAUUCGUGAAAGCAGUAUGACCUACCACUUAUGGUGUCGCAAACAACUGAAGAUAUGAAAAUAUUGUCGUAAAACUCAGGUCAGAGCGAUACGUAAUAAUUUUGUCCUGUGGCGAAAAACUGAUGGAAUUUUAAAUUUACCCUUUUAUAUGAUAGAAAGAAAAGCACAAUGUAGAUUUGCCAUUCAAUAAAAGCAAAUUCGAAAUCCUUUUAAGUUGUGCCACCAUCAAUGCCAAGCAGCGGUAUAAGAAAUCUAAAAAUCUUAAUACUUUCGAUGAAAAACUGCGUGCGUUUAGCGGUUCCGUUCUACCGAAUGGCGGAUAAGACAUUGUGAGUUGUGCUUCUAUAUCGCAAAUGAAAUACGGUAAAUGAUGCUUGCCCUAGCAGAAAUGUUUGUUGUAUCGCGUAUUGUAGUUACAUUUUCUCCUAGACCUUUUUCAAUAAACUGAGAAAUGUAAGAAGAAACGUUGCGUUUGAGAUGCCUUUUCGUUCUAAUCAUUAUUUAAACAUGUUUAAAUGUUCAUAAUGCAAUGACAAUACAUGUCAUUUUAUUCGGGAGAGUUCACAGA
rnacentral:misc_RNA from 1 species